GGACUCCUACGGGGGGCAGCAGUGGGGAAUAUUGGGCAAUGGGCGCAAGCCUGACCCAGCAACGCCGCGUGAAGGAAGAAGGCUUUCGGGUUGUAAACUUCUUUUCUCAGGGACGAAGCAAGUGACGGGACCUGAGGAAUAAGCCACGGCUAACUACGUGCCAGCAGCCGCGGUAAUACGUAGGUGGCAAGCGUUAUCCGGAUUUACUGGGUGUAAAGGUCGUGUAGGCGGGAAAGCAAGUCAGAUGCGAAAACCAUGGGC
rnacentral:rRNA from 1 species